rnacentral:rRNA from 1 species
AUUCCAAUCGAACCCGGAGAUAGCUGGUUCUCCCCGAAAUAGCUUUAGGGCUAGCGUCGAGGUAGAGAGUUGCGUGAAGGUAGAGCACUGAAUAUGUGAUGGCCCCAUCUCGGGGUACUGAGCAUAAUCAAACUGCGAAUGUCACGGAAACAUACUCGGCAGUCAGACAGCGGGUGAUAAGGUCCGUUGUCAAGAGGGAAACAGCCCAGACCAUCAGCUAAGGUCCCAAAAUGUAUGCUAAGUGGAAAAGGAUGUGGAGAUGUACAGACAACUAGGAGGUUGGCUCAGAAGCAGCCAUCCUUUAAAGAGUGCGUAACAGCUCACUAGUCGAAUGACUCUGCGCCGAUAAUUUACCGGGGCUAAGCAUACUACCGAAGCUAUGGAUCCCAAGGGAUGGUAGGGGAGCGUUCCAUGAACGGAGAAGCGCGAUCGAGAGGACGCGUGGAGAUCAUGGAAGAGAGAAUGCCGGUGUGAGUAGCGGAACGUGGGUGAGAAUCCCACGCACCGAAAACCCAAGGUUUCCAGAGGAAGGUUCGUCCGCUCUGGGUAAGUCGGGACCUAAGGCGAGGCCGAGAGGCGUAGUCGAUGGACAACAGGUAGAGAUUCCUGUACUCAUAUAUAUGUGAAGGAAUGACGGAGAGAGGAAGCUGCAGCCAGCGGCUGGAAGAGCUGGUGCAAGCGAGAUAUCGGGAUGGCAGGCAAAUCCACCAUCCGAAACGAGAAGGCGUGAAGCGUACGGAAAGCUAAGGCGAGUACGGAAGGCAGUGGAGGAGCUUCCAAGAAAAGUUUCUAACGAAAGUAUAUGUGACCCGUACCGAAAAUGGACACACAUGGGUGAGGAGAGAAUCCUAAGGUGAGCGAGAGAACUAUAGCUAAGGAACUCUGCAAAAUGACUCCGUAACUUAGGGAGAAGGAGUGCUCAUAGAGAUAUGAGCCGCAGUGAAACGGCCCAAGCGACUGUUUACCAAAAACACAGCUCUCUGCUAAGCCGCAAGGCGAAGUAUAGGGGGUGACGCCUGCCCGGUGCUGGAAGGUUAAGGGGAGGGGUUAACGCAAGUGAAGCCCUGAACUGAAGCCCCAGUAAACGGCGGCCGUAACUAUAACGGUCCUAAGGUAGCGAAAUUCCUUGUCAGGU